CUUUGUUAAUGAGAGCCUCACUAAAUAGCUGAGACUAGCCUUGAAGGUGUGAUCCUCCUGCUUCAGCCUCCCAAGCUGCUGGAAUUUCAGACAGGCACCACUGUAUCCAGCUUCCCAUCUUGGUUCCGUACCGGACCUGCAUUCUCUUCCACAAGCCCCUCCCCUGCCUGUAUGGCUACUUGUGGGUCUAGGACCCACAGGCCCAGUCAUUCUCCUGACCUCCUCUUCUACUUCCCAACCCUUCCAAGCCACAAGACCAGUACAAUCCAGAAAGGGGUUGAAUCCCAACCAUUCCUUCCUCCUCAGUUAAGGGAAAGCAAGGAAUGAGAGAUGGGUAAGCGAAAAAUGAAAGACAGAGACCAGGCAGAGAUACACAUGAGAAUUUGUCAGAGCUGACAAAUAAAGGCCAUCUCUCUAGAGUGGAGAGAGGCAAAACAGGCUUGGGUUCCAGGACUUUUAUGGGGAAGGUUCAGGGAUCAGAGCCAGGCAGGUCCUAAUGCAGGUGGUUAAGGGUUGGGUUGGGAUGAGGGAGUGGUGAGCCUUUCUCAGAAAUGCCCUAGGGCAGGAAAGUGAAACUGUUUCUUUAAAAUGGCGCUGUCCCUUAAGAUGGUGUAAGGAUGGCCUUAGGGCUGAGCCUAAGCAACUCCAUUUUAAAAACUCCAGUAUGAAACCUGCAGUCUCACCAGGCACUGGAGCCCUCCAGUAUGGCCCUCAGGCACAAACAAGUCACUUCCCCCCCCACCCUGAUAAACUUAGAGUGAAGCCUCUGGCAGGCUGUCCUCGCCUGAUAAGAGGGAAAGGCGAAAAGAUCAGGGUGGGGACCACCAGACAAGAUGUUUUAACCCCAGGGUAAAUGACGCAACAGAGAGACCCAGUGGCAGCUGAUAAGGAUUAAAAGGAGGGUCAAAAGCCCCAGAGUUUGGUACAAAUAAUGGAGCAAAUGAACAGACAUUUAGCUAACAAUGAUGCCCUCAGACUGAGAGCCUGGUGAGGACCUGGACUGACAUCCCAACACUUUUCAUCAUUUGCUGAUCCUCUGCAUCUUCCUCACCAGUAAAUUCUACAGCCACAUCUUAACCCUGGUGAGAGCAACUUCUUCCUACGACCCUCUCCUCAGCCAGCCGUCAGCUCCACCCCAGGAGAAGCCUGCCUUGGUUCCUGAUCUGAUGACCGUGGUCUGAGUGAGUGUGCAUCUGCUGGACUUAAAACCUAAGGCUUGAGACUUUUGAUUCUGCAAAGGGAAUGUCUGUCAUGAGCCUGUCACGAUUACGUGUGUUUGCAGUGCUUAGAAUUAAUCUAGAAUUGUUUGCUGUGAAUUGCUUAUGUCUGUUGUAGUGCCUAGCUUUAAGGAUUGUCGUUUUCUUGAUUAAGAACCUAUAGAGUGAAGUUGUAUUGAGUGAUUUAAGUGAAUAAAGCAUUACUAGGACAGAAGCGCGUGGACAUUCUUUGGUUCUCCCCCUCGACUGCAUACGUCGCACCUUUUGCCCAUCGCGACAGAUGGCCAUCCAGAUGCUAAACAAGGACCCUAUAUUCAGUUUCC
rnacentral:lncRNA from 1 species